UCCCUUGUAGCUCAGUUGGUAAAGAAUCUGCAUGCAAUGCAGGAGACCUGGGUUCGAUUCCUGGGUAGGGAA
rfam:TPA: Bos taurus chromosome 9, whole genome shotgun sequence.